rnacentral:rRNA from 1 species
CAGUCGCCGCGGGAAUACAGAGGGUGCGAGCGUUAAUCGGAUUUACUGGGCGUAAAGCGUGCGUAGGCGGCUUCUUAAGUCGGAUGUGAAAUCCCUGAGCUUAACUUAGGAAUUGCAUUCGAUACUGGGAAGCUAGAGUAUGGGAGAGGAUGGUAGAAUUCCAGGUGUAGCGGUGAAAUGCGUAGAGAUCUGGAGGAAUACCGAUGGCGAAGGCAGCCAUCUGGCCUAACACUGACGCUGAGGUACGAAAGCAUGGGGAGCAAACAGGAUUAGAGACCCCAGUAGUCCCUGUCUCUUAUAC